CCUACGGGAGGCAGCAGUGGGGAAUAUUGGGCAAUGGGCGCAAGCCUGACCCAGCAACGCCGCGUGAAGGAAGAAGGCUUUCGGGUUGUAAACUUCUUUUCUCAGGGACGAAGCAAGUGACGGUACCUGAGGAAUAAGCCACGGCUAACUACGUGCCAGCAGCCGCGGGAAUACGUAGGUGGCAAGCGUUAUCCGGAUUUACUGGGUGAAAAGGGCGUGUAGGCGGGAAAGCAAGUCAGAUGUGAAAACCAUGGGCUCAAACUGUGGCCUGCAUUUGAAACUGUUUUUCUUGAGUACUGGAGAGGCAGACGGAAUUCCUAGUGUAGCGGUGAAAUGCGUAGAGAUUAGGAGGAACACCAGUGGCGAAGGCGGUCUGCUGGACAGCAACUGACGCUGAGGCGCGAAAGCGUGGGGAGCAAACAGGAUUAGAUACCCCAGUAGUC
rnacentral:rRNA from 1 species